rnacentral:RNase_P_RNA from 1 species
UCCGAGAAGUGGUCAUUCGCUGUUUGGUAAUUUUACCAAAUAGAGGAAAGUCCGGACAUCGCAGGACAGAAUUCCUCGUGAAAACGAGGGAAACUUGUAUCAAAACAAGUUUACGGCCAGUGCAACAGAAAAUAAACCGCUCGCUAAGGCGAGUAAGGGUGAAAUGGUGGGGUAAGAGCUCACCGCCACGAGGGCAACUAAGUGGGCAUUGUAAACCCAGUUCGAUGCAAGGCGAAAUAGGAAACCGGGUGGUCCGCCCCAUGGUUUCGGGUACGCCGCAUCUCCUAUCACAGGAGGAUUCCAGUAAGGAAUAGAUAAAUGAAUGACAAUUCGAUUUUUUCGAAUUACAGAAUCCGGCUUAUAACUUCUCGGAAACU